rnacentral:rRNA from 1 species
CCUACGGGAGGCAGCAGUGAGGAAUAUUGGUCAAUGGACGCAAGUCUGAACCAGCCAUGCCGCGUGCAGGAAGACGGCUCUAUGAGUUGUAAACUGCUUUUGUACGAGGGUAAAUCCCGAUACGUGUAUCGGGUUGAAAGUAUCGUACGAAUAAGGAUCGGCUAACUCCGUGCCAGCAGCCGCGGUAAUCCGGAGGAUUCAAGCGUUAUCCGGAUUUAUUGGGUUUAAAGGGUGCGUAGGCGGUUCGAUAAGUUAGAGGUGAAAGCCCGGGGCUCAACUCCGGCACUGCCUCUGAUACUGUCGGGCUAGAGUUUAGUUGCGGUAGGCGGAAUGUAUGGUGUAGCGGUGAAAUGCAUAGAGAUCAUACAGAACACCGAUUGCGAAGGCAGCUUACCAAACUACGACUGACGUUGAGGCACGAAAGCGUGGGGAGCAAACAGGAUUAGAUACCCCAGUAGUC